rnacentral:misc_RNA from 1 species
AAAGUCGUAACAAGGUUUCCGUAGGUGAACCUGCGGAAGGAUUAUUACCUUUCAAUGCAGAAGAGUUGGGAUAGUUGAGUAUCUCGCCUCUUAAUUCUCGCUGUAUUUUACCCUUGUUUUUCUUAUACUAUUAUUUCUUUAGCAGGCUCGCCUGCUGGGUGAAACAACUUUAAACUUGUUUAAUUUUCAAUUAGCGUCUAAACAAAUUAAUAAUUACAACUUUUAAUAACGGAUCUCUUAGUUCUG